rnacentral:rRNA from 1 species
AGAGUUUGAUCCUGGCUCAGAGUGAACGCUGGCGGCGUGCUUAACACAUGCAAGUCGAACGAGAACGGAACUAGCUUGCUAGUUUGUCAGCUAAGUGGCGCACGGGUGAGUAAUGCAUAGAUAACGUGCCUUUUAGAAAGGGAUAACAGUUGGAAACGAUUGCUAAUACCUUAUAUGCCUCUAAAACAAAAGUUUGCGAGGGAAACGGUUUACUCCGCUAAAAGAUCGGUCUAUGUCCUAUCAGCUAGUUGGUGAGGUAAAAGCUCACCAAGGCAAUGACGGGUAGCUGGUUUGAGAGGAUGAUCAGCCACACUGGUACUGAGACACGGACCAGACUCCUACGGGAGGCAGCAGUGGGGAAUAUUGCACAAUGGAGGAAACUCUGAUGCAGCAACGCCGCGUGGGGGAUGACGCAUUUCGGUGUGUAAACUCCUUUUAUAUGAGAAGAUAAUGACGGUAUCAUAUGAAUAAGCACCGGCUAACUCCGUGCCAGCAGCCGCGGUAAUACGGAGGGUGCAAGCGUUACUCGGAAUCACUGGGCGUAAAGAGCAUGUAGGCUGGUAGAUCAGUCAGAUGUGAAAUCCUACAGCUUAACUGUAGAACUGCAUUUGAAACUGUCUACCUAGAGUAUGGAAGGGGCAGAUGGAAUUAGUGGUGUAGGGGUAAAAUCCGUAGAGAUCACUAGGAAUACCGAAAGCGAAGGCGAUCUGCUGGGACAUUACUGACGCUGAGAUGCGAAAGCGUGGGGAGCAAACAGGAUUAGAUACCCUGGUAGUCCACGCCCUAAACGAUGGACACUAGUCGUCGGUGGUUUUAAACCAUCGGUGAUGCACUUAACAGAUUAAGUGUCCCGCCUGGGGAGUACGGUCGCAAGAUUAAAACUCAAAGGAAUAGACGGGGACCCGCACAAGUGGUGGAGCAUGUGGUUUAAUUCGAAAAUACGCGAAGAACCUUACCUGGCCUUGACAUUGAUAGAAUCUUCCAGAGAUGGAGGAGUGCCUGCUUGCAGGAGCUAGAAAACAGGUGCUGCACGGCUGUCGUCAGCUCGUGUCGUGAGAUGUUGGGUUAAGUCCCGCAACGAGCGCAACCCUCGUCCUUAGUUGCUAACAGUUCGGCUGAGCACUCUAGGGAGACUGCCUUCGCAAGGAGGAGGAAGGUGAGGACGACGUCAAGUCAUCAUGGCCCUUACGGCCAGGGCUACACACGUGCUACAAUGGUAUAUACAAAGAGUUGCGAUAUCGUGAGGUGGAGCUAAUCUCAUAAAAUAUAUCUCAGUUCGGAUUGUUCUCUGCAACUCGAGAGCAUGAAGCUGGAAUCACUAGUAAUCGUAGAUCAGAAUGCUACGGUGAAUACGUUCCCGGGUCUUGUACUCACCGCCCGUCACACCAUGGGAGUUGAUUUCACCCGAAACCGGGAAGCUAACCUUCGGGAGGCUACCGUUCACGGUGGAAUUAGCGACUGGGGUGAAGUCGAAACAAGGUA